GUCUACACCCAUGCUACCCUGAAUGCACCCAAUCUUGUCUGAUCUUGGAAGCUAAGCAGAGUUGGGGCUGGUUAGUACUUGGAUGGGAGAAUAGAAGAAAUUGUGAAGA
rnacentral:rRNA from 1 species